UAGGGAAUCUUCCACAAUGGACGCAAGUCUGAUGGAGCAACGCCGCGUGAGUGAAGAAGGUCUUCGGAUCGUAAAGCUCUGUUGUUGGUGAAGAAGGAUAGAGGCAGUAACUGGUCUUUAUUUGACGGUAAUCAACCAGAAAGUCACGGCUAACUACGUGCCAGCAGCCGCGGUAAUACGUAGGUGGCAAGCGUUGUCCGGAUUUAUUGGGCGUAAAGCGAGCGCAGGCGGAAUGAUAAGUCUGAUGUGAAAGCCCACGGCUCAACCGUGGAACUGCAUCGGAAACUGUCAUUCUUGAGUGCAGAAGAGGAGAGUGGAACUCCAUGUGUAGCGGUGGAAUGCGUAGAUAUAUGGAAGAACACCAGUGGCGAAGGCGGCUCUCUGGUCUGCAACUGACGCUGAGGCUCGAAAGCAUGGGUAGCGAACAGGAUUAGAUACCCUGGUAGUCCAUGCCGUAAACGAUGAGCGCUAGGUGUUGGGGACUUUCCGGUCCUCAGUGCCGCAGCAAACGCUUAAGCGCUCCGCCUGGGGAGUACGA
rnacentral:rRNA from 1 species